GAUGAACGCUGGCGGCGUGCCUAAUACAUGCAAGUCGAGCGAACAGACGAGGAGCUUGCUCCUCUGACGUUAGCGGCGGACGGGUGAGUAACACGUGGAUAACCUAUCUAUAAGACUGGGAUAACUUCGGGAAACCGGAGCUAAUACCGGAUAAUAUAUUGAACCGCAUGGUUCAAUAGUGAAAGACGGUUUUGCUGUCACUUAUAGAUGGAUCCGCGCCGCAUUAGCUAGUUGGUAAGGUAACGGCUUACCAAGGCGACGAUGCGUAGCCGACCUGAGAGGGUGAUCGGCCACACUGGAACUGAGACACGGUCCAGACUCCUACGGGAGGCAGCAGUAGGGAAUCUUCCGCAAUGGGCGAAAGCUUGACGGAGCAACGCCGCGUGAGUGAUGAAGGUCUUCGGAUCGUAAAACUCUGUUAUUAGGGAAGAACAAAUGUGUAAGUAACUAUGCACGUCUUGACGGUACCUAAUCAGAAAGCCACGGCUAACUACGUG
rnacentral:rRNA from 1 species